rnacentral:rRNA from 1 species
GGCUCAGAACGAACGCUGGCGGCGUGCUCUACACAUGCAAGUCGAGCGAGGCGGGGAGCAAUCCCCAGUCGAGCGGCGAACGGGUGAGUAACGCGUGGAUGACCUGCCCUUUAGUGGGGAACAACCAGGGGAAACUCUGGCUAAUACCGCAUAAGACCGUGAGGUGAAAGGGGGCUCGCAAGGGCUCUCGCUGAAGGAGGGGUCCGCGUCCGAUUAGCUAGUUGGUAGGGUAAUGGCCUACCAAGGCGACGAUCGGUAGCCGGCCUGAGAGGGUGAUCGGCCACACUGGAACUGAGACACGGUCCAGACUCCUACGGGAGGCAGCAGUGGG